rnacentral:rRNA from 1 species
CAAUAGCGUAUAUUAAAGUUGUUGCAGUUAAAAAGCUCGUAGUUGGAUUUCUGGAUGGAGCGACCGGUCGGGCAUUAAUUUGUCUGCACUGGAGUCGGUUCCGUCCAUCCUCUUGGAAAGUGCGUCGGGCAUUAAGUUGGUUGGCGUAUGAUCCAAGUCGUUUACUGUGAAAAAAUUAGAGUGUUUAAAGCAGGCCUUCGCCUUGAAUACAUUAGCAUGGAAUAAUAAGAUAGGACUUUGGUCUAUUUUGUUGGUUUGCAGACCGAAGUAAUGAUUAAUAGGGAUAGUUGGGGGUAUUUAUAUUCCGAUGUCAGAGGUGAAAUUCUUAGAUUUUCGGAAGAUAAACUUAUGCGAAAGCAUUUACCAAGGAUGUUUUCAUUAA